rnacentral:rRNA from 1 species
AGUGAACGCUGGCGGUAGGCCUAACACAUGCAAGUCGAACGGCAGCACAGUAAGAGCUUGCUCUUACGGGUGGCGAGUGGCGGACGGGUGAGGAAUACAUCGGAAUCUACUUUUUCGUGGGGGAUAACGUAGGGAAACUUACGCUAAUACCGCAUACGACCUACGGGUGAAAGCAGGGGAUCUUCGGACCUUGCGCGAUUGAAUGAGCCGAUGUCGGAUUAGCUAGUUGGCGGGGUAAAGGCCCACCAAGGCGACGAUCCGUAGCUGGUCUGAGAGGAUGAUCAGCCACACUGGAACUGAGACACGGUCCAGACUCCUACGGGAGGCAGCAGUGGGGAAUAUUGGACAAUGGGCGCAAGCCUGAUCCAGCAAUACCGCGUGGGUGAAGAAGGCCUUCGGGUUGUAAAGCCCUUUUGUUGGGAAAGAAAAGCAGCAGGUUAAUACCCCGCUGUUCCGACGGUACCCAAAGAAUAAGCACCGGCUAACUUCGUG